rnacentral:rRNA from 1 species
CAACUCCUACGGGAGGCAGCAGUGGGGAAUAUUGCACAAUGGGGGAAACCCUGAUGCAGCCAUGCCGCGUGUGUGAAGAAGGCCUUCGGGUUGUAAAGCACUGUCAGCGGGGAGGAAGGCAGUAGCGCUAAUAACGCUACUGAUUGACGUUACCUGCAGAAGGAAGCACCGGCUAACUCCGUGCCAGCAGCCGCGGUAAUACGUAGGGUGCGAGCGUUAAUCGGAAUUACUGGGCGUAAAGCAUACGCAGGCGGUCCGUUAGGUCAGAUGUGAAAUCCCUGGGCUUAACCUGGGAACUGCAUUUGAAACCGGCAGACUAGAGUCUCGUAGAGGGGGGUAGAAUUCCAGGUGUAGCGGUGAAAUGCGUAGAGAUCUGGAGGAAUACCAGURGCGAAGGCGGCCCCCUGGACGAAGACUGACGCUCAGGUAUGAAAGCGUGGGGAGCAAACAGGAUUAGAUACCCUGGUAGUCCACGCCGUAAACGAUGUCGAUUUGAAGGUUGUAGCCUUGAGCUGUAGCUUUCGGAGCUAACGCGUUAAAUCGACCGCCUGGGGAGUACGGCCGCAAGGCUAAAACUCAAAUGAAUUGACGGGGGCCCGCACAAGCGGUGGAGCAUGUGGUUUAAUUCGAUACAACGCGAAGAACCUUACCUACUCUUGACAUCCAGAGAACUUAGCAUAGACGCUUUGGUGCCUUCGGGAACUCUGAGACAGGUGCUGCAUGGCUGUCGUCAGCUCGUGUUGUGAAAUGUUGGGUUAAGUCCCGCAACGAGCGCAACCCUUAUCCUUUGUUGCCAGCGAUUCGGUCGGGAACUCAAGGGAGACUGCCGGUGAUAAACCGGAG